AAGCAGGGGUAUGCCAGAGGCCAGCAGGCCUACUGGGGGCUGAGCUGGUGCCCAGGACUUGUCCCUGGGGCUGUGGUCACCAGGAGCCCUGGAGAGUGUCCAACGGGGGAAUAACAAAGCUAGCAGGAGGUCACUCUUCACACCUGGCAUGCACCACAUGCCCAGCUCACAGCAAGUCAGGCCUUCUCCAAGGCUCACCAGUUUGCCGCAGAAACCCGGACCCCAAUCCUGUCCCUGCAGCCUGUGGUCCGAACCACACUCGCCUCCUCUGAGGAUGUCACUACUCACGGGAAGCCGGACAUGUCGGAAACAGGCAGGAAGAAC
rnacentral:lncRNA from 1 species